GGGGAGGUCGCAUAGAGGCCUAGUGCGGCGGUUUGCUAAACCGCUAGGGCGGCAACGCCCUCGAGGGUUCGAAUCCCUCCCUCCCCGCCA
rnacentral:tRNA from 1 species